AUUGAACGCUGGCGGCAGGCUUAACACAUGCAAGUCGAGCGGGGAAAGGUAGCUUGCUACCUGACCUAGCGGCGGACGGGUGAGUAAUGCUUAGGAAUCUGCCUAUUAGUGGGGGACAACAUCUCGAAAGGGAUGCUAAUACCGCAUACGUCCUACGGGAGAAAGCAGGGGACCUUCGGGCCUUGCGCUAAUAGAUGAGCCUAAGUCGGAUUAGCUAGUUGGUGGGGUAAAGGCCUACCAAGGCGACGAUCUGUAGCGGGUCUGAGAGGAUGAUCCGCCACACUGGGACUGGGACACGGCCCAGACUCCUACGGGGAGCAGCAGUGGGGAAUAUUGGCCAAUGGGGGGAACCCUGUUCCAGCCAUGCCGCGUGUGUGAAGGAGGCCUUUUGGUUGUAAAGCACUUUAAGCGAGGAGGAGGCUACCGAGAUUAAUACUCUUGGAUAGUGGACGUUACUCGCAGAAUAAGCACCGGCUAACUCUGUG
rnacentral:rRNA from 1 species